rnacentral:rRNA from 1 species
CCCUAGUAUUAUUUAAUACAUAAGAAGAAUUAUAUAAAUGAAAAUGAAAGUUUCUGGCGGUUAAUUGUUAUUUAGAGGAGCUUGUUAUUUUUUGAUAAGAAUUUACUCUUUAUAUUUCAUAAAUAAAAAGUUUAUUCAUCUCCGUUAUUAGAUAUUUAUUAGUAAAAUUUAUUUUAAAAUUUCAGGUCUAGAUGUAGCAUUUAUUUUAGGUAAUUAGCUACAGUUGUAAAAUAGUGGAUUUUUGUUUUAAAUCAAAAGGAAAGUGAAUUUGAUUGUAAUUUUAGCUACAAGGCUAAAAUGAAUUGUUAUAAUUAAUGUA